rnacentral:rRNA from 1 species
UUUUAUGGAGAGUUUGAUCCUGGCUCAGGAUGAAUGCUGGCGGCGUGCCUAACACAUGCAAGUCGAGCGGCAGCGAGGGGUGCUUGCACCCUGUCGGCGAGCGGC